rnacentral:lncRNA from 1 species
AUCAUGCCAAAAGAAAGAAAGAAUAACCUUAACAUACCUGGAGUAGGGAAAACUCCGUAUAAUAUUCUUGGAGAGGAUUGCACUGUACUCCUUUCGAACCACAAAUUUUACGUUGCUACGAUUCUAACAUUUCUCGUUGGAAUUGUUUUGAUGCAAGAAUUUUCGUUGGAGCCUGGAUUAAAUUUAGCUACUGUUCUUGAAGUAUUUUGAAUCUAUGAAGAAUGAUAUUGAAAUGAAGAUGGACGUUUUGAACUUUGUCCAAAAUGAAAAUGGAAUCAAGACUUAGUAGUAAGUCUUUCUUUUGUCCAAAUGAAAAAUGAGCCAAGACUUGUAAUAAGUCUUUACUUUAAUUUCAAAUACAUCUUAGAUAGCCACCUAUUCAAGAAGACUAAUGAGUCAUUUCUUAGUUUUGUGGCUUUUUACCACGUUUUUUGGGGGGUGGGGGGAGGGAGAUUUAGUCUUUAUCUCAUUUUUUAAUAAUUAACUAGGCAAUGUCCCGUUACCCGGUUAUUAAUCAAUUACCCGCAUAAUUAAAAACUAUUUCCACUUACUUAAAAUACUACUCACUUUUCACAUACCUUAUACACAUUACUAUCAUGUCCAUGUGGUACCUUGUAUGGUACUAGUCCAUAAAUACCUGGUAUUUUAGCUCAAGUCGUAUAUUACCCCAAAAAUGCCCAACUUUGACGAAAAUUCAUUUUCUUGGACUUGCUUCUCCUUUCACCUUCACGAAUUUACUCAUUACUUGUGAAAUAGCAUAAUCCUUAUAAUCUUCAAAUAAUCUUUUACUUGGACUGAUGUCAAUUACCUUACGGCAAAUUCAACGUACAAUACUACGGGGUGCAAUAACAUCGUAACUUAAUACUAUGAAGCGUAACAUCUCCGUAAUGUAAUACUGUUGGGUGCAACACUAUCGUAACUUAAUACUGCGAAGCGUGACAUCAUCGUAAUGUAAUAUUGCAAGGCAUAACAUCAUCCUAAUAUAUUACUGCAGGACGUAACAUCAUCGUAAAAUAUUACUGCAGAGGGUAACAUCAUCGUAAUAUAUUACUGCAGAGCAUAACAUCGUUGUAAUACUGCGGGGCGUAACAAGUAUACAACCAAGGAUUAUCAAGUGUUAGACCACUUCCAAUUGCAGCCAAUAAUUUUGAGUUGAAGCAAGGGUUGCUUCAAACCCUUCAAAACUUUUGUGUAUUUAGAGGGAAGAUGAACGAAGAUCCAAAAAACCAUCUAAUGGACUUCAAGGAGAUCAUGAAUACCUUUCAAUACAAUGAUGAGUCACAAGAUGCGGUUUACUUAAGAGCAUUCCCCUUGACACUCAAAGAUGAUGCAAAGCAGUGGCUUCGAAGCUUAGCCCAGGGAUAAAUUAGAACAUGAGAUAAGAUGACCAAAAAAUUUCUCGAUAAAUGUUUCUCAUCUGCUAAGACGGGCAAGUUUAGAAGAGAAAUCCAUAACUUCUGUCAAAAAGAGACUGAAACUGUUUUUGAAGCUUAGGAGAGGUUUAAGGAGACUGUUAGAAAGUGUCAACAUAGCGAAAUUGAACUCUGGAUGCAACACCAUGGAUUUUGGGAUGGAUUGACACUGGCCACAUAUAGAACAUUGAGCAAUGCAGCUGGAGGCCCGUUAAUGAGGAAGACUCUAGAGGAGAUAGUUACAAUUCUUGAUGAGUUGUUUGAAGAUGCUAAUCACUGGCCCGCUGAGUGUGGUGAAAGAAGAAAAUCAACCAGUGUUCACCAAGUUGAUGCUAAUACAUCUGUGCUGGUACGACUUGAUGUUAUAGCCAAAGAAAUAUGGAAGCUGACCUUAGCCUCGAUACAAAGUGAGCCAUAUGCAGCAUGUGAUAUAUGUGGAAGAGGACACCCUAUUCAUGAGUGUCAAGCCUCAAUCGAGGAUGUUAAUGAUGUGGGGAAUUAUAACUUUAAUGCAAUGGGUCAGAAGCACCCCGGUUUUUCAUGGAGUUCAUCUGGGGGAACCACAAAUUCAUGGCGACAAAACAACCCCAUAUUUUAGGGACAUGGAGCUUCAUGUUUUACGAAUCAGCCAAGGCUGUAGUUUCAGCCUCAACAAUCCAAUCAACGUGGUUUAGAAGAUAUAAUGAAUGCCUUCAAUGUCAAUACAUAUGAGAGGCUAGAUGCUCAUGGUGCAACUAUCAAGGAACUUGGCACAUAUUUGCAAAACUUGGAGAAGUAAGUGGGGCAAACUGCAACAUUAUUGCUUGAGAGAGUCCCAGGACUAUCCCAGCUGAUACUGAGAGAAAUCCUAAAGAAAUGGUGAAUGCUGUGACCUUAAGAAGCAGGCAAGUGUUGAAAGAUCUCACUUCAAUCCAAAAAGAGGUUGUACCUGAAAAAAAGUAGGGAGCAUCUGAAAAAUGAAGUUGAUAAGAAGAAUAAAGGCAAGAAGGGAGCUGACAAAAAAGAAGAAGGAGGAAACCUCAAGAAUGAAAGAACCUAAUGAGAGGCAGCAUAUGAUUGCUCUACCUUUCCCAUAAAAUCUAUAUAGAGAAAAGCUGGACAAGCAGUUUGAGAGAUUUUUAGAUAUGCUGAAACAUGUUCAAGUAAAUUUGCCAUUCACAGAAGUGCUAUCAUAAAUGGCAGCUUAAGCCAAAUUCUUGAAGGAGAUCCUGACAAAGAAGAGAAAGAUAGAAGAGACCUCAAUGGUCAAACUCACAGAGCAUUGCAGUGCAAUCUUGCAAAACAAACUCCUAUAAAGGUAUGGAGAUCCAUGGAGUUUUACUAUACCUUGCUCUUUAGGCACUCUGAACUUUGAUAAAUCAUUAUGUGAUUCUGGUGCCUCAAUUAAUUUAAUGUCUCUAUCUAUUUACAAGAAAAUGGAGAAGGAGAUUGGAGAGAUAAGGUUGGUGCAAAUAUCUUUGCAGCUAGAAGAACAAACGACUUUGAUACCGAUGUCUCAGUUCGGGUGGAUAAGUUUGUAUUCCCUGUAGAUUUUAUAAUGGUCAAGAUGGAGGAGAACAAGGAGGUCUCCUUCAUCCUAGGAAGACCAUUCUUAUCAAUGGGUAGAGCGAUACUAGAUAUACACGAGAGAAGCUCACGCUGAGAGUGAGUGAGUAGACUGUGACUUUCAAGAUAGAUGUAGAAAUGGGGGUGACAAAGGAGAAUCCAACUGCAAGUGUUGAGUGAAAAGUGAAGGGUUCGAAAGAGAAGGCUGCAGGGAGUGAAAAUGAAAAGUGUACGGUAUAUCCCAAGAAGGCUGAGAAGAAGUUGUCUGCAUGGAUGUGUGCACUAGUUCGGGCGUGAAGAUUGGAGCUCGACUUUGAUUAAGACCUAACUAGAUGUUCAGGGAAGUUUCCUUUACCAUAUGCUUUUGAAUUGUGUGUCAUGGUGUCACAACCCAAAUUCCACUCAGGGUUGUGAUGGCACCGGACACCGCUGUCAGGAAAGCCAACCUUACUUAAUUAAAUUCUCGUUUAAAUAAUUUUGAAAACUAUGAUUUUUCCUUUAAUUUUACCAGUAAAAGAUAAUCGUUUUAAAUAAAAUAUGUAUGUUAAGAAGUUAAUACAAGAUACCUCAUAAUCAUCCCAGAACCCAGUGUCACAAGUGCACAAGCAUUUACUAGAGAAUGCAAUAAAAUACAGUAACUGUCCGGAAUACUAGUGGACAAAAUGAAAAAUACAGUAAAAUACUCUAAAGGGGACUCUGCUGGCUGCCGGUCAUCUCGAUAAAUGCAGCUCACCUAAGUCACUAGCCACACUUGAACCUCUGCAACAAAAAUGCACAGCAAGUGUAGUAUGCAUACGAAAACAACAUGUAUCCAAUGAGUAUCCCGUCUAAUCUCGAAGAAGUAGAGACGAGAGGUCGACUUCGACACUUAUUAAUGGUCCAAUGAUAAAUAGAAAAAGUGUGAGGAAUUCAAGGAUUUCAUAAAGCAAAAUUUAACUCAUAAAGUCGGAAAGCAGGUAAACAACUUCUCAAAUAAUUAGGGAGUUUCAAAGGUAUACUUUUCAUUAUCGUUAUCAAUUUAUCUCUGGCCAGGAAGGGGCAAUUAUCAACAUUUAAAAUUCUCAAGCAAGCAAUACAAGCAUGCGCAUAUCAUGCCGAGGUCGUAUGACCCGAUCCAACAAUAUUUAAACUGUGCACUGGCAGGGGGUCGAAUGGAGCGAACCAUACAUGCAUUUAUUUAAUCUACCGAGGUGUUCGACCCGUUCCGAAAUUAAACACAUUGGGUACAUAAAUACGGCCCUGCAUCCGCAACACCCCAUUGUCCCCAACAGUAACCUACUUGUCACCACCGUGCCGCAUCAUGUCCUUAAGGAUAAGAGACGUGGGGGUCAUCAUAUUGACGCUCUCUGAUGAACUCAUACAAAGAAGACCGAGAGACUAUGCAAGCUAAAACACGAUUGGGCUUCGAAUCAUCUAACCAAACAAACUUAUUGGCCAAAGCUUGAACAUCUGAUGCUAGUGGCCUCCCACCCACUGUAAUAUAUGCAAGGCCACCCAUACUCACUGCCGUUCUACUCAAGGCAUCGGCCACCACAUUAGCCUUCCCGGGAUAAUACAAAAUGGUGAUGUCUUAGUCUUUCAACAGCUCUAACCACCUCCUCUGCCUCAAGUUGAGAUUCUUCUACUUGAACAAAUACAAUCGACUUCGAUGAUCUGUGAAUACCUCACACGACACACCAUAAAGAUAGUGCCUCCAAAUCUUCAACGCAUAAACAAUGGUUGCCAACACUAAGUCAUGAAGAUGGUAUUUCUUCUCAUGAACCUCAAUUGUCGUGAUGCGUAUUCAAUCACCUUGCCAUUCUGCAUCAAUACUAUACCGAGCCUAACUUGAGAUGCAUCACAAUACACCGUGUAAGAUCCUGAACCUGUGGGCAACACCAACACUAGCGCCAUAGUCAAAACAGUCUUAAGCUUCUGAAGGUUCAACUCACACUCGUCCGACCACCUGAAUGGAGAACCCUUCUAAGUCAAUAUAGUCAAUGGGGCUGCUAUGGAUGAAAACCCCUCCACGAACCGGCAAUAAUAACCCGCCAAGCCUAAGAAACUUUGAAUCUCUAUAACUGAAGUAGGUCUAGGUUCUGAACUACCUCAAUCUUAUUAUGAACCACCUUUAUGCCCUCUCCUGAUACAACAUGCCCUAAAAAGGUAACUGAGUCUAACCAAAACUCGCACUUUAAAAACUUGGCAUAUAACUGACUAUCUCUCAUAGUCUAAAGUACAAUCCGAAGAUACUACUCAUGCUCUUCUCGACUACAGGAGUAGAUCAAGAUGUCAUCAAUGAAUACGAUCACAAAAUAAUCCAAAUAGGGCUUGAAUAUACGAUUUAUCAAAUCCAUAAAUGAUGCUGGGACAUUUGUCAUUCUAAAUGUCAUCACUUGGAACUUAAAAUGCCUAUACCAAGUCCAGAAAGUUGUCUUAGGGACAUCUGAUGCCCUAAUCUUCAACUGAUGGUAGUUAUACCUCAAAUCAAUCUUCAAAAACACCUUGGCACCCUGAAGCUGAUCAAAUAAGUUAUCAAUCCUCGGCAACGAAUAUUUGUUAUUGAUAGUGACUUUGUUCAACUGCUGAUAGUCUAUACACAUCCUUAUCGAUCCAUCCUUCUUCUUCACAAACAACACAGGCGCACCCCAAGGAAAGACACUGGGUCUAAUGAAUCCCUUAUCAAACAAAUCUUGCAACUACUCCUUCAGUUCCUUCAACUCAGGUGGUGCCAUACGGUAUGGUGGGAUAGAAAUAGGCUGAGUGCCCGCAACCAGAUCUAUACAGAAGUCAAUAUCUCUAUCGGGUGACAUCCCCGGUAGAUCUACAGGAAAUACCUUUGGGAACUUAUACACAACUAGUACCAAAUCCAUGGAAGGAACCUCCGCAAUAGAAUCUCGAAUAUAGGCCAAAUAAGCUAGACAUUCCUUCUCGACCAUGCAUCGUGCCUUGACAUAAGAAAUAACCAUGCUAGUAGAAUGGCCAAGAGUCCCUCUCCAUUCUAUUUGAGGCAAUCCUAGCAUGGCUAAGGUCACUUUCUUGGUGUGACAAUCCAAUAUAGCAUGAUAAGGUAACAACCAAUCCAUACCCAAGAUAACAUAAAAAAAGUCUGCCAUAUCAAGAAGUAGGAGAUCUACGCUAGUCUCAAGACUCCCAAUAGUAAUCACACACGAGAGAUAGACACGAUUUAUAAAAAUAGAAUCUACCAUAGGUGUAGACACAUACACAGGAGCACUCAAAGAAUCGUGAUGCACAACCAGAUAUAAAGCAAAAUAGGAUGACACGUAGGAAUAAGUAGAGCCCGGAUCAAAUAGAAUUGAAGCAUCUCUAUGGCUAACUUGAACAAUACAUGUGAUAAUGACGUUAGAUGACUCAGCCUGAAGUCUAGCUGGGAAUGCAUAAAAUCGAGGUUGGGCCCUACCACCCUGACCUCCAUCUCUCGGACGACCUCUAGCUGGCUGACCUCUACCUCUAAUGGCCUGACCUCCACCACUAAUGGCCUAACCUCCAUCUCUGGCUGCCUGACCCUUGCCUUUAGCUGGUUGAGAGGGCGGUGAAGCACCCGAUGCCGAACGAUGGCACAAGAACUUUAUUGUGGUAUGCCGUUUAACAAUCUCAGAUAGAACCUCCUGAUGACACUAGUAUCCCCACACUCAAAAUACCUAUCCUACUAUUAUGGCUGCUGAACUUGGAACUUGCCCGAAUGGACAGGAUAACCAUAGUGGCAGCUCUAUAUUGGAGGCAUACUAAUAGGACCUGAUGGUGCACUGAAGGCUAGCUGCCAAGAAUGAGAUACAUACGGACCACAAUACACGAAUCAUUAUGAUAUGCCAGAAACACUAACUGAAAUGGCCUAGGAGGAUGGCUCCUACUAAAAGCACCCCUACCUCCAGAUGAGGCACCGCUGAAACUACCAGAAUUAUGAGGCCUCUUAUCAGACAUCGGCCCCCUCUCUUGACCAUGAACCAUCUCGAUCCGUCUAGCAAUAUCUACGGCCCUCUGAAAAUAAAUAUCAUCUCCAAUUUUCUUGGCCAUUUGUAGCUUGAUAGUGAAAGUGAGUCCAUCAAUGAAUCCCCUCACUCUCUCCCUCUUAGUAGGGAGCAGGAUAAUGGCAUGGCGAGCUAGGUCCAUAAAUCGAGUCCCAUACUAUGUAACAGUCAUACUACCUUACUGAAUAUGCUCAAACUGCCUGUGGUAAUGCUCUUUUAGAGUGGCAGGAAUGAACUUCUCUAGAAAGAGUUGUGUAACUAAUCCAGGUAAGUGCAGGCGAACCAACUGGUCUAUUUAACAUAUAAUAUCUCCACCAUCUCUUUCCUGAACCAGUCAAUUAAAACACUGCAAAGUCGAUCCCAUUGGUCUCCACUAUACCCAUGUUGCGCAAUACCUCGUAGCAACGGUCCAGGUAAUGUUGUGGAUCCUCAGAAAGUGCACUACUAAAAUGAAUAGGGAAGACUUGGUAAACAUAUCCAACCUCAACAAGGCCUUAGAAGACAUAAGGGGCCUAUAACCGGCCUUUACCACCAUAAUUGACUGAACCAGCCCAAUUGGAUGGGUUGCUGGAGUUUGAUACAAGGGAAUCGCCUGCUUCGGAGUGUGAGUAGCAUGAGUCUGUGCUCCUUCCCCAGCCUGAGAGACGUUUUGUGCCACCGCAAAUGCACCAGACUCGGCCACACUCUCCAUAAGGCCCACCAAGUGGACUAGAGUGUCAUGAAGCACUGAAGUGGCUAUGAACACCUCCGGGACCUGAGUUGGUCCAACGGGUACAAUCUUAGUUGGAACCUCCUUCUCAUGAUCAAUUUGAGGCUCUACUACGGCUGCUGCUACUCGAGCUCUAGGCUGGACUCUGCCUUGGCCUCUUCCCCUAGUAGUAGUUGUCACAGGUGGCUCCAGCUCAUGUCCAACUGCAGAUGUUGUGCGUGUUCUCUCCAUAUGCGAGAGAACAAGAAUAGAGUGGUUCAAUAACCAAUGAUAAAAUAAAAUCACAUGAUAGAGAAGCAAAGAACUGAAAUUGUUUCUGGACUUCAUAGCAUCUAGAAGAUAAGUAGAGACGACUCCGUACUGAUCCUCCAAACUCAAGUAAGCUUGCUCAUGACUCAUGAGACCUAGGCAACCUACUGCUCUGAUACCAACUUGUCACGACCUGAAAUUCCCAUGGUUCGGACCGUGAUGGUGCCUAACUUUACACUUGCUAGGCAAACCAAUGUUAGAUGUAGUUAUUAACCAUUUUGAAUAAUUCAAAUCAAAUGAAAACCAAUAAACUAAAUAAACUGAAAUAAAGUAGAUAAAUCUGACAAACGAUGAUAUCAAAUAUAAAUCCCAAAAUUGAUGUCAUGAAUAUACGAGCAUCUAGAGUACUAUAAAUAAUAGUCUGAAUGAAAACGUAAAUGCUUGAUUAUAAAUAAACAGCUAGGGUAAUGUAGAAGGGGACUUCAGUGCUGCAAAAACUGUGCACCUAUACCUCAGGUCUCAAUCGAGCACAUGAUCCAGGCAAUAUACUCACCACUGCUAGGAUCGACUCCAAAAUCUGCACAAAAAGUACAGAGUGUAGCAUGAGUACAACCGAUCCUAUACCUCAGGUCUCAAUCGAGCACAUGAUCCAGGCAAUAUACUCACCACUGCUAGGAUCGACUCCAAAAUCUGCACAAAAAGUACAGAGUGUAGCAUGAGUACAACCGAUCCUAUGUACUCUGCAAGUGCCGAGCCUAACCUCGACGAAGUAGUGACGAGGCUAAGGAGGGUCACAUUCAAUAAUAUGUACGCAACGUAAUAAUAAUAAUAAUAGGAAAGGUAAAGUAGUUAACUUAUGAAAAAGAACUCAAUUCUUGUAAUAAGAGAACCGGGAAUAACCGAUCUCAUAAUUUUAUAUAACACUUGAAAAUCAACACAGUAACAAUAAUGAAUACAACACAGAAAACCCAUUGCAGCGCGCAACUCGAUCCUACCGUACACACAAUCCUCCCUUAUUUCACUAUAUCAACAUCAAGAAUCACAUGUAAAAUAUAUUGCAGCACGCAACUCGAUCCCACCAGAUCAUCAUAAUCAAUAUAAUAAUCCUCCCUUAUUUUACCAUGUCACAAUUUAUUAAUACAAGUAUUACGUACAAAGCCGUUGUGGCGCGUAACCCAAUCCUACUGUAUUCUACCACAUCACAACCGUUGUGGCAUGCAACCCUAUCUAUACGAAAAUACAAUAAAUGAAAUCAAUCCAACAACUCAAUUCACAAGAAUCUCUAUGAUUAAAGAAUUAUGAAAGCAAAGCAAGAAAGGAACCACGAAAGAAUCAAAGGAAGGCUACAGAUAAUACAAGUGCAACAAAACAAGCCAAGUAGGUGACAAUGAAGGCGUACAAGUAAGACAAUUAAGGCAAGUAGCAGUUAGUCAUGGAGUCUCGGAAGGAACAAACAUUUCAAUACAAGAAUAAUUAAUGACAAGUAACAAGUUACGACAUAGAAAUAAAUUAAAGCAUGUAACAGUUAAGACAUGAAAUAAGAUAACUCAUGAAAUACGAGAAAGCAUGGAAACAAUUAUUUUGACGGAGUAUAUAUAUUUGCCACCUCGCAUAUACGUUGUUACACACGUAAUUGUCACGACCCAAGCCGAUGGGCCGCGAGUGGCACCCAGUGCCUUACUCAACCGAGUACCAACGUAACAUAUCUUUUCUAUUACAUCAUCAUAGGUCAGUGGGUCAGAAGGGCCUUAUGAGGCAACAAGAAUAAAAUAAGAGGGAACACUCGUCAUAAAACAACCAACCUUAUAUAGAAACUUGUACAUGUGAGAUACGGGGCUAUAAGGCAAACAUGGUCGUUUGUAAGCCCGAAUCGUAGACCGACAAGGCCAUACAAGUAUCUGUAUACACGACAUUUAUCUACGAGCCUUUAAGAGUACAUAAAUGUCAUAAAGGUCGGGAUAGACCCCGCCGUACCAAUCAAUACAUGUACUAGUCAUACUUACCAAAUAAGGAACUCCGGAGUAAAUGGAGCACACCAACACCUUCUGCUGAGCUGAUAGCCCACUUGGAGGACUCUCACCUAUCUAUCGGGACCUACGGGCAUGAAACGCAGCGUCUCUAGACCAAAAGAACGUCAAUACAAAUAAUGUACCAAGUAUGUAAGGAAUGAAAAUCAAUAAAUAAUAGACAUGAGAGAAAUAUGGAGUAAAAGACUCAACAUGUAAGUCCAAAUAACUCUGUGAAUCAUUAAUAUUUAUAAUGACAUGUAUAUGCGUAUAAAUGUUAUACCAUGCAUAGGUAUAUGUGUUCAUAACAUCAUCAAGCAUCUGAGGGCAUCCCAUCAUAUCAUCUUGGCCACUGUGGCAAAAUCAUCAACGUAUAUCAGCUGAUCAGGUGGUGGUGUGUAUAUAACGUUGUAACCUUUUCCCAUAUCCCAUAUAUAUACACACGUAUAUAUACAUGUAUAUAAUACCAUCUGAUCAUGGGUCAAUGUACAUGUAUAAAUGAAUGCAAUGAAUGAGAAGUACGUCAAUAAAAUCUUUUAGAAUGUCAUAAGACCAUUAUGCCGUUGAUUAAUAUCAUGAAGUAAACUUUAUCAACUUACGUAUUUUCUGAGACCCAUGAACAGAUGAUAGAAUAAUAGGACACAUGGAGAAUUAAGAACAUAUGCAUCUCUAGUAUUUCUAUGAAUAGAGUCAUUUAUGAAAAUUAUGUAUUUGCUCAUUUCGUUUAUAUCGUAUGGAUCAUUCAAAAAAUAAAUAAGGGAUAGACUUAACAUACCUGAGUAGAUUCUCUUGAGAAUCCCUCUAACACACGUCUUUUGCGAAUAACACAUAACGAUGGAUCGAAAUAGGGGAAAACCCGUAUGAUAUUCUCGAGAAAGAUUACACCGUACUUCCUUAGAAUCGCAAAAUCUCAUGUUGCUAGUAUUAAGUAGUCUUGUAUGAGAUUUGAUUAUAGCAAAUCAUGUAUAUAAUUUGUAUGAAAUUAUAUUCGAUUUUGACAAUAUACCAGCUUCGACCAUUGUCAAGUCCGGCUUAAUUUUGUGCUGAAACGUGAUGCUUGUAUCUUCUAAUCUUAAGGGGAUAAGCAAACAUUAGCUUGCAUGUGCGGAGGGAAGUGAAUAUCAUAAUGCAAAUCAUGUUCAGAAAGCUAAAAAAGAGUGUAUAUCUUGCUGUAUGCUCUAUAAAUGUGACACCUUGCUACAUAGUGUAUGAGUCACUUAAUGGAUCAUAUGUGCUGCCACGUUGGGGGGAAAUUUCCCACCCAAUAAUUAUCCACUCAUUUUCUUAAUUAACUUUUUAAUCUCCCAUUAAUCAAUAAUUAUCCAAUUAUCCACAUAAUUAGGAAUUAUCUCAAAUUACGUAAAUGCUACUCACUUUUAACACACUUUAUACACCUUAUUGUCAUGGUUAUGUGGUACCUUGUAUGACACUAGUUCAUAAUUCUCGGGUAUUAUAGCUCGCACCGUAUUUUAUCUCGAAAUGUCAAACUUCGGCGAAACUCAUUUUCUUCGAUUUGCUUACCCUCUCACCUUCACGAAUUUACUUACCACUUGUUUGAAAUAGCAUAAUACUUAUAGCCUCAAAAUAAUCUCAUUCCUGAGCUUACGUCGAUUAACUUACGACGAAACUUUAACGUACGGAAAUGCGGGAUGUAACAUCUCAUUUCCGGCAUUCAUCAAUUUACUUAUGGCAUACUUUUACUUACGAAAACAUGAGGUGUAACAUCAUUCCCUCCUUUGGAACAUUCGUCCUCGAAUGUUGACUGAUGCACUUGUCAUUAUCAUAACCUAUAGUAAUUGCGAAUACUUUAGUACUCUUGUUGCCAUCUAGGCAAUUGUUUUGUAAAUAAAUCCAAAGGCCAAGGCAUUCCCCCCUUUAGGCUUCUUUCUCACACCAUGACUUGUGGUCAGAAUCCUUCCAAUCUCGUAACUGUUGCUACCUUUUGUCAUGCAGGGUACGACUCUAACCUUGUAAGUGAGCCUAUGUGACUCUUCUCUCCUUUUUCCUCCGGCUUUUAACCAAUCUCUAGGCCUCACUUUGUAAACAUAUAUAGAUCUUGAUAAGAUAUCCCUCUGGGCAUAUAUAGGUAUACUGAUGUUCUUCGCUUGGUACUUUGUUGAACUUACGGAUAUUGUUAUACCUUAUUUCAUAGAUCUGUUUAUCCAUCCGUAUGACUUUACUGCCAUAACUCUUACUUUGAUUUAUCGUUACUGAGGUCUGCUACUAGACUCUAGGCUACUCUCGUUGCUUAUCCUAUAUGUAUAAAUCUAAGUCCUUUAACGCUUCUUCUUUACUGUUCAUCUUAAUACUGAUGACCCAAUCUUAUCUCAUACUUUGUAAAUUGUAUCUAUCCUUUGUUGAUUCACCUCAAUUUUGAUAUACAUUCUACCACUGAUAACUUGAAACUUCUUACGUAAUACAUUGUCACUGGGGCUUACGUCUCAUCAGGGAAUAUCUGAAGUGGCUUGCCUAAUCCACCUAGGGGUGAUACUAUACUUCAAUAACCAUAUUUCAUAGCAUCCCAAUGUGAUUCUCCUUACAAGGGUAUUUUAAUCAUGUACAAUUCAUCAAAUCAUUACUUAAUUGAAGGCCCAACCGUCGUCCUUUAUUUAUCGUGAUUACACCCUCAUUCUACUACCAGGGCAGCAUUCCAUCUCUUCUAAAUGCUAUUAGUUUUACACUCCUUUGAGUUCAUUUAGGCUAUACUGAACCUUCUAUAACUUAGAUAAACCAUUAGCUCUCUUAUUUUCAUGGGCUUAAUCCUGAGGACUUAUCCAUUUCUCGUCACUUUCUAACCCGCCCUUUAUUAUCCUUACUCCUGUCAUAAAACCUUAUCGCUUUACUAUACUUUAGCUUGCGACCUAUACAUAUCUAUUUAUACUACUUGUAACCGUCCUUCAACUUGCUUGAACCAUAGAUUUCCUUAUGUUAUUCUGGAACAUCAAGCGAGACAUAAUAUCGUCUCUAACUCUUCUUUACUCUCUUGGCUAGAUCUCUUGAUACCUAGAAAACACAAGUUGGAAGAUAUGCCACUGAUGAUGCCGCUAUCAAUCCUGGUUACUGAAUCCCAACUUUUUAGCCUUUUGUCCGAAGUAUGGACAAUUCACAACCUUCUGCAUUUGAGUAUCUCGUACGUUGUUUACCUUUACCUUACUUAUCUUAAAAUCUUGUAUCAUAUCUUCUAUGUAUUUCACAACCUCCCUUCCACAUAAGUAUAAUUUACAUCAACAACUUAAAGUUCUAUUAUAAUAACUGCACCUCUCGUGCAUACACAAUCCAGUGGGAGCUUCAUGCUGACUUCUUAUGAGGCUGGUACUAUUCUAACUGGCUUUAUUGUAGGGCCGUUAUAGAAUAUGGCUAUUGUACUAUCUGUCUUGUACCUCUGAUAUGAAGAGUGAUCCUGCAAUUUUCUCAAUCAUAAUUUCUAUAAUUUUCUCGGUCCAAUAAUCAGACUCUGAUUUACUUAGUUGAAAUAACUCUUUAGUUUCCUCUUUCUUCUGAUAAACCUUUAUGUACGCUUAAGCUAUCUUUCGAUCUACGGCUCAUAAUAUUAGUUAUUACUUUAGCCUUUUAUGGACGCUCUGGAAUAUCCCUGAUACAAUCUUCUAACAAUUCAAUCUUUGUAUAUGACGCGGGCUCAAUUCUUUCUUUUAACUUAUACGGGAGUCUUGUACGGCUGUAUGAAUGUCUAUAUAUAUGUUGUAUGGAUAAUACUUCGAAAUCUUAAGUGCAUUCAUAACAUAACUAACUCUGGAUCAUUGAUCGAAUAUGUAACGACCCAAUUCUAGUUUAGGCCGUGAUGGCGCCCAACAUCAUUGCUAGGCACGCCAACAAUGAAUUAUCUAGUGAUCCCCAUUUUUAUUAAGUUAUCAAACAUCUAACUUUCCUUAAAUUUAAAGGAUUUAAUAAAUAACGUAUUUUUAAAGCAAUCAAAAGUGAAGAUAGCUAAAUGAAAUCAUAACUGUAGAAAUACAACCCAAAAUCAUAAGUCCACUAGUGUGUGCCAAGACCCGGUGUCACAAGUGUAUGAGCAUUCUAGAAGAAUAUACAAAAGAAUAGUAGUCUAGUGUCUGAAAUGUAAUACACAAAAAAUAUAACAAAAGGAAGACUUCAGCUACUGUAGUACGGCUCAGAAGGGCAGCUCACCGUGUAGUCUCGAAGUGAGGAUCAAAUAUGUGCGCCAGACAGGUAACCAGAUGCACUCGCCUCAGAUCUUGUACAAUCAAGUACAGAAGUGUAGCAUGAGUACAUAAACAAUAUGUACCCAGUAAGUAUCCAGUCUAACUUCGAAGAAGUAGUGACGAGGGAUCGACUUUGACACUUACUAUGAGCUAACAAUAUUGCAUUUAAACUUUAUAAUAAGCAUGGAUUUCACGAAUAAUAUUGAAAGCUCAAUAACAGAAAAUGAUGAAUUCUUCUCUCACAAAUUAUAACGACCCCGCCGGUCGUUUCAUGAGUUACUGCUCCAUUUUUCCUAUUUAUAUUUUUAUUGCCUUAUUUAGCUGUAUUAUGUGGUAUCGGGUUGGUUGGUUCGGGUUCGGAGUGGUUUUGUAGAGAAAUGAGACACUUAGUCUCUUAAAUUAGCCUUUUAGUUGGAAAAGUCAACCGGAAGUUGACUUGUGAGUAAACCAUCUCAGAACUUGGUUUUUAUGGUUCAGAUAGCUCCGUGAGGUGAUUUGGGACUUAGGAGCGUGAUUGGAAUGUAUUUUGGAGGUCCGUGUUAGUUUUAGGCUUGAAUUGGCAAAAUUAGAAUUUUGGCGUGUUACAGUUUGGAAAUUUGAUAUAGCGGUCGGAAUGGAAUUUCGAAAAUUGAAGUAGGUCUGUUGUGUCAUUUGGGAUGUGUGUGCAAAAUUUCAGGUCAUUCGGACGAGGUUUGAUGGACAUUUUGAUGAUUUGGUGUUUUGAUGUUGUUUUGGGCGUUCCGAAGGUUGAAACAAGUUUGAAUGAUGUUAUGGGAUGUGUUGGCAUGUUUGGUUGAGGUCUCGAGGUCCUCAAGUGAGUUUUCGGUUGUUAACGGAUCAAAUUCUUGUUUUUAGAAGUUGCAGAUUUCUUCAAUUCUAUGUUGCAGAGAUUUGUCCUUCGCGUUCGCGAGAGGGCUCUCGCGUUCGCUAAGGGAUGUGUAGUGAGGCAGGAGAAUUUUCCUUCGCGUUUGCGAUGUUGGUCCCGCGUUUGCGAAGGGUGAGGCAGAGUGUGCAUCGCGAACACGAAGUAGGUCCCACGUUCGCGUAGAGUAAUUGGAGCAGCUGGGUUCCUAGGAUUUUGUGCUUCGCGUUCGCGAAGGCUUGGACGGUUGAAGCAUCGCGUUCGUGUGGAGUAUGUCGCGUUCGUGAAGGAGGAAUAAUUGGUCAAUGAAUUUUUGUGCUUCGCGAAUGCGAGGCUUUGACCGCGUUCGCGAAGAAGGAAAUAUCAUCUGGGCAGAAUGUUUAAAUAGUUACCUUCGCGAUUUUUGGCCUAUUUUCCACUAUUGUUGAGCGGUUUUGGAGCUUUUUGAGAGGGAUUGAAGAGGAAAUCGAAGGGAAACACUUAGAGGUAAGAUUUUUGAACUCAAUAUUCGAUUCUAUGAUGGUUUCUACCCAAUUAGACAUGAAAUUAGUAGGAUUUAAAGUCUAAAAUUUUGGAAUUAGGGCUUGAAAUUUGAGGCUUUGAUUUAAGGAUUUGAGGGGCCAUUUUUGGUCGGAUUUUGAUGUGUUUGGUAUGUAUGAACUCGUGAGAGUGUAAGGAUUCUAAUUUUGUAAUUUUUAUCGGAAUUCGAGACGUGGGCCUGGGGGUCAGAUUUGGCCAAUUUCGGGAUUUUUGAGUUAAAUUGAUUAUUUUUGCUUGGGCAUUGUUCCUUCAGCACGUAUUAAUGGUAUAAUACUGGUUUUGGUUAGAUUUGGAGCAUUCGGAGGCCGAGUUGAGGGUCAAAGGCAUCGCAGGCUAGAGUUUGGACCGGAUUGAGGUAUGUAAUGAUUGUAAAUGUUCUUCUGAGGUUAUGAAACCCCGGAUUUCACAUUGUUGUGCUACUUUAAGGUGACACACAUGCUAGAUGACGAGCGUGGAUUCGUGCACUGAGGGGCUGAUUACGAGUGAUUGUGAAGUAGCCUGAGGGGCUAGUUCUGUCGAUAUUUUGCCUGAGAGGUGUGAGCACAUGAUUUUUGCCCUAUGUGAAAUACUCCUACAAAUUAAAGAAAUGGAUUUUUCCCAAUUGUUUGAAAUUUUAUAGGAUUUUUGUAGGAUUUUUGUUAAUUUUUUUGCAUUUCUGUGCAUGUUUACUUUUAUUAAAAUCAUGAAAAGUACCAAAAUUAUCAUGCAUUGCAUUUAGAUUCUAUGUUUAUUUUUGCAUUCUUAGCUUUUAACUUGGGAUUAUUAAUUUUUCUCUUUUAAGUUAGGAUCACUUAAUUUUUAUUAAUCUUAUGAUUUGAUAAGUAGUUUGAUUUUAUAACUUAGAUUAAUUUAGGGUUUAAUUUAGAAUUUUUAUUAAUUAAGGAAAAAGAAAAGAAAAAUAAAAGAAAAAGGAUUAAAAUAGGAAAAAGAAAAGAAAUCUUGGUCUUUAAUUUCACUGAGCUAAUUAAUACUGAAGCCCAAAAAUGUUGCCCCAAAUCCGCCCCAAACACACCCCAAACCCGCCCCAAAUCCAAGCUCAAAAUAAAAUUACCCGGUCUAGCCUCUUAUCUAAACCAAACGACCCCGUUUUGCCCGUCUUUUAUCACAGCCGUUGGAUCUUACUGAUCCAACGGUUCAGAACUAACCUUCCAUUCGAUAUAAGAUUGUCCUAACUGAUCACCCCCAAUUUCGAACCCCCCCAUUUUGUCUCUUUUACAAACCCUAGUCAACCUAGCUGCUCCCAAAUUACCAAACCCCACCGGCCGGCGACACAACCCCAAUCGACCCCAAGUUCACACCCUAUAAUCACCAGGCAUCCCCAAACACAAAACCCCUAACAAUUUCCCCAAAUAAUCUUUGGAACUCAUCGAAUCCUGGAUCUAUGGUUUGACCUAGUUUCUGCGUUUUGAGAUUUUCUUGAAGUUUCUGCUCGUUUUGGAUGGAAGUCUACCCAAAUAGGUUACUCUUGAGUGGAGUAGUCAUUUAGGUCAACUUCGAGCCCUAUCGAAGCAUCUUGAAGCCUGUCAUUUGGGUCGAUCAGUAAAUUCUUGACCUCUACUCUUUGUUUUUGUUUUCUCUUCUGUUUUUCUUUCUUUAUUUCUCUUCUUCUCAAUCGGUUUUGUUUGCAUGAUAGUUUGGAACGCUUAUCAAGCGAGUUUUAUUCAUUUUUUAAUUAGUCAAUUGUGUUCAAUCAUUAUUAGCAUGUUUAAGUUCUUGGUUAAUUACAAUUUGCUUUAGGGUAAUUUAGAAUGAGCUUGAUUAGCUAUUUUAGGAUAAUUCAAAUAAGCUAAUUAGUUAAUUGAAUGUUUGAUUCUGAUUUGCACCAUUUUCUUUUUCCGUUUUACAUGAAUGUUUUGAUUCUGAUGCUGGCUGGAUAAAAAUGGUGUUCAGCCUAGGCCUGAGUUAAAUAUUACACUUGGGCCUGUUUGAGACCAUUUGGCCACGACUUGGGCCUGUUUGCCAGGGCAGUUGGCCCAAAACUGAAGGGAAAGGUUCUAGAAAGCGUACAUCUGCCUAGACUUGGUGGAAAGAGCAUGUGGAAAUAUCUGAAUAUGGACAGCUGUCCCAAAGCUACCCAGUUUCAGUUACAGAAAGAUUCCUUUCUUGAAAGCUGGGGGUGUUUUUUAGAAAAUCAGGCUUAAAUAUAGGGUUUGAAAUGAACCAAAAAAUGAGGAAGGGGUAAUAGUAAAAGAAAAAAUCAAGUUUUGUUGCCCUAAAGCCCUCCUAUAAGAAGCUCAUUUUCCUGAAUUCUAGGGCAGAGAUGGGGAGGAUCCAAAAAGAGAAAACGACUGAAAAUUUUUCCAAAAAAAAAAACUACUCAAGUUUUGAGCUUGAUUUCUUUCUUUGGCUAAAAAGUUUAGAAGUGGUCUUUCUUGGGAUUUUCUGGUUUUUCUAAGCUAAAAUAUGGAUGGAUAUUGAGGCUAUUGAGUUGAUGAUUACUACUGUUCUUUGCGGCUGGACCUGUUAUUGCUUUGCUGCUAUAAGCUGAUUUUCAAAUACAUUUCUAGUUUUCUUUUUGUUGUAUCCAGGUACUCCUUUGAAUCUCUGAAAUUUGAAGUGAAUAUGACAAUGCAUGUGUUAAGGCUGAUGUGAUUAGUUAUCAAUUUUUCCAAAAUUGGUUCCUAGGUUCUAUUAAUUUGUAUAUCUCUUCUUCUAUUAGUCACUGUUCUCUUUCGCAUAUCAGUAGAUGUAAAUCUGUGUUAGAGUAUAAAAGUUGUCAUUGUAACACAUGAAUUUUAGGACUUGAAUUAUGUUUGUGUUAAGAAUCUUGCCAAAAGUGUUAGAUGUCUGAACCAAGUGUAUGUACACUGUGAUUUUAGUUAUGGGUCUAUGUUGGAGUCAUUUGAGUCUCUAAUAUGGCGAGUUUAGGAAUGAUGUUUGGA